UACGUAGGGCGCGAGCGUUGUCCGGAUUCAUUGGGCGUAAAGAGCGUGUAGGCGGCCAGGUAGGUCGGUUGUGAAAACUGGAGGCUCAACCUUCAGAGGUCGACCGAAACCAUCUGGCUAGAGUCCGGGAGAGGAGAGUGGAAUUCCUGGUGUAGCGGUGAAAUGCGCAGAUAUCAGGAGGAACACCGGUGGCGAAGGCGGGUCUCGUGGGCCGAUACUGACGCUGAGGAGCGAAAGCGUGGGGAGCAAACAGG
rnacentral:rRNA from 1 species